UACGUAGGGGGCAAGCGUUGUCCGGAAUCAUUGGGCGUAAAGCGCGUGUAGGCGGCCCGGUAAGUCCGCUGUGAAAGUCGGGGGCUCAACCCUCGAAUGCCGGUGGAUACUGUCGGGCUAGAGUGCGGGAGAGGCGAGUGGAAUUCCUGGUGUAGCGGUGAAAUGCGCAGAUAUCAGGAGGAACACCAAUUGCGAAGGCAGCUCGCUGGAACGUAACUGGCGCUGAGACGCGAAAGCGUGGGGAGCAAACAGG
rnacentral:rRNA from 1 species